UUGAGGUUAGAUUUUGGAGAAUUUAUUGUUUGUCAAUUUCAAUUGUCAUACAAAUUUGUAUUUUAGGUGUGUAUUUUCAAUUUAGGCCUCAAGUUACAACUACUACAGUUUAAAGAACCAUUUUUGUCAUCACAAAAUUGAAAGGAGAUGGAUGCACCCUCCUUCAGAAGGCGCUGAAAGGAAUACUAAUUAUAGGCCGCUGUACUCUGUAGAAGAACUUAAGGAAGAGCACCUAGUGAGAUAAGUGUAUAUCUGCCAUAUCAUCCGUUAAACAGCCAGGUUUUUGAAGGAAGAAAGAUGUAGCCCCAGCUCUGGACAAAAAUAUUAUGGAGAAGGUUGGCCGCUGUACAGGGCAGCUAUAGUUAUUAUUAUAUGUUGCCUUUUAUUGUUAUGUACUGUUUUUAUACUUUACCAAUAAACCUUAUAUUUAUCUAGA